CUGUAAUUGGAAAAAAAAAAAGAACUUUUGUUCUAUUAUGGUUUACUAAUAAAGGAUGCAGUUCUAUAUUAUAAGAUGACAGAGAGUAGCAUUUUGCCUUCAUUUCUUCUGGACCAGUUCUGGUAGUUAAUGUUGUAAACCAUAUUGACGAAAUAAAUACAAAUUUGAUGACAAAAGUUACUAUUAAGUGUGGAACACACACUUUUUUUAUUACAUAUUCGGGAGAAAGUUAGCUUGUUAUGGCAGUGUUUGUGGUUGGUACGAAAUAAUUAUAGCAACCUGGAGGAAUAACAAAACCAAUGUUGAACAUGUAAAACGAAAAAUGGUGGAGAAAUUUAGCUCGCCGAGGCAGGUUAUCAUCUUUGAUAUGGAUGCCAUGGAAAGCUUGAAGCAUAAAAUCAGGGGUAGAUACCGAUGUGGAGACAUGAAAUUCAAGUUUCAGAUUUCUACAUGAGCUUUACACUGGUUGGCUUUUCAGUUCUGAUAGUGGGGUUGUGUUGCAGAUUGAAAAGAAAUGGAAGAAGAAGAUAGUGUGAGCAUCAAUCCAACCCCUUGUUUCAACCACCACCACCAAGGUAUCUCUCUCUGCCUCUCUACUUAUAUAGAUAUGGAUAGGCAUAAGAAAUGAAUUGGUGUAGGUAUUGAUUCUGCUUUUGGUUUUUAAAACGCAGACUUUGGAUGAAAUAUAACUAGUUUCACCGUCAUCAUCUCAACUAUGUGAAGAGUCUACUAAUUCUUGUCAACUUUACACUCCUCAAGUUAAAAAUGAACUGAUACCGAGAAUUAACCAACAAUUUCGCAACUUAGACAAUGUGUAUUCCUUCUACAACAAUUAUGCAUUUCAUUCUGGAUUUAGUGUGUGAAUAAAUUCAAGCAAGACGGAUAAGAAUGGUGAAACCAGUUGGAAGGAUUAUGUUUGUUUCAAAGAAAGGGAGAGGAGAAUUUAUAGGGCCACCACUACACAUCGUCGGGGUUUGACUAAAGAGAAUUGUGGUGCAAAAUUAGUUGUCGUGAGACCCCGGUCAGGUGAAGGGUUUGUUGUCUCUAACUUUGUCAAGAGUCAUAGCCACUCUCUUACGACCCCGAGGAAGACACAUUUGUUGAGAUCUCAUCGUCGCAUUCCCGAUGCACAAAAAUCCUUAACAUGACAUUUCACUGCUGCAAAUGUGCCACCCCAUCAACAAAUGAGUAUUUUGGAGUUGCAAGCGGGGGGUGUCAAAAAUGUUGGAUUUUUACCACGAGAUCUUUAUGACAAAAAUAGGGAUGAGAGGAAUUGCGUUGAUGGAUAUGACGCCGACAUGUUGUACAAGUAUUUUGAGACCGAACAACAAAAGAAUCCCAGUUUUUAUUUUACAAUGGAGAAAGAUGAUGAAGGGAGGAUGAGUCAUUGUUUUUGGGCGGAUGCCACAUGUAGAAAGUCGUAUCAAUAUUUUGGGGCUGUUGUGGUAUUUGAUACAACCUACAAUACAAACUGAUAUUCUAUGAUCUUUGCUCUUAUAUUAGGAGUUAAACACCAUAGGCAGACUACGCUUUUUGGUUGUGGGUUCUUGUGUAAUGAAUCGAGUGAUUCUUUUGAGUGGCUUUUUAAACAAUGGCUGAAAGCAAUGCCAGGAGGCCCGCCCAAAAUGAUCAUAACUGAUCAGGAUCUAGCAAUGACAAAAGCAUUUGCUAAUGUUCUUCCAAAUACGCACCAUAGAUAUUGCAUUUGGCACAUUGUGAGUAAAUUUUCUUCAAAGAUAAGUGUUUUAUCUUAUAAAGAGCAUUAUGAUGAUUUCAAAAGAUGUAUAUGGAAUUCAAAGAGCCCUGAAGAGUUUGAUAGAAGAUGGGAAGAUAUUGUAACAAAAUCUAACUUGUUCGACAAUGAAUGGUUACGUUAAUGUACAAAAUUCAUGACAGAUGGGUUCCGGCAUAUACGAAACACAUUUUUUCUACCCAUAUGACAAGUAGCCAAAGAGCUGAAAUUUCUCAUGCAUUUUUUAAGAGAUACGUGUCUAAAGAAAAUACAAUGUUGGAUUUUGUUUUGCGGUUCGAAAGGGGCAUUGUCAUGUAUACGACAUAAUGAAUUGAAUUUGGAUCACAAAGAUGUCAAUGAGAAGGCAGUCUUGAAAAUCUUGUCGUUCAUGGAAAAGGGAAUGAGUGAAAUAUAUACGCAGAGAAUAUUUUAUAUGUUUCAAAAGGAAAUCUUUCAAAUUAAUGCCUAUGUGGUAAUGUUAAAACAUGAGGAUGAACAUCGGUGUUUGUGGAAUGUUCGGAGGCCGAAUAUAGAAGGGUCGAGAAGUCGAGAGAUUUCAGUAGAGAAGUCAUCAAACCUUGUCAGUUGUAGUUGUAAGAUGUUUGACUUUGACGGAAUCCCAUGUCGACACAUGUUGGCUUACUUUAGUAGAAUGCAAAUUAUGGAAUUGCCUACGAAGUACAUCUUGCAGAGGUGGACAAAAUCAGCAAAAGUGAGUAGAGUUAUGGAUGACUUGGGUAGUGUUGGGAAAGAAAUAUGCGACCGUUCGGUUUUAGUGAGGCAAUAGGGUCUCUUCCAACUAGCUUCUAAUGUGAUUGAUGUGGGUGUACUAGAUGAGGAAGGAACUAAAGUGGUAUCCAAGCACCUAUUACUCGCGAAGGAUGAACUUGCAGUAUUGAGGAGUUCUCGCGAACCACGUCCAGCGAGUGGUAUCGAAAUGCGUAUUUCUCAUGGAAGCCAGCAUAGUUUUAAAGAACCACUCCAAGUUAGGGCAAAGGGUUAUGGUAAGUGAUUAAAAGGAGGAAAAGAGAAGGCUAUCAAGAAGAGCAGGAAAUGUCAUGGUUGUGGGUUAACGGGGCAGUCGCACGAUAAAAGAAAUUGUCCAAAGCUUCUUAACAUCUCUUCGCAAGAUGUUAGGUUGAACAACGACGAUGACGACAUGUCCAACAAUGAUGAUGAAUGAAAUGGCAAGGCGAGGUUGACAAGAUGGUGACAUGCGGAGAGGUUGUAUUUGAACAUUUGGAAGAUCGAAGAAUUGUAAUUUGAUACAUUUGGUGUGAUUUGUAAUUUAUUUUUUACAGAUAAUUGUAUUAGGUUUGGGUUACUCGCUGGAAAAGCAAACUAGUUUCAUUUUAUUUAAGGUGAUUGUAUCAUCACGAAUUUGGA